GAUGAACGCUGGCGGCGUGCUUAACACAUGCAAGUCGAACGGAAAGGCUCCUGCUUGCAGGGGUACUCGAGUGGCGAACGGGUGAGUAACACGUGGGUGAUCUGCCCUGCACUUCGGGAUAAGCCUGGGAAACUGGGUCUAAUACCGGAUAGGACGAUGGUUUGGAUGCCAUUGUGGAAAGUUUUUCGGUGUGGGAUGAGCUCGCGGCCUAACAGCUUGUUGGUGGGGUAAUGGCCUACCAAGGCGUCGACGGGUAGCCGGCCUGAGAGGGUGUACGGCCACAUUGGGACUGAGAUACGGCCCAGACUCCUACGGGAGGCAGCAGUGGGGAAUAUUGCACAAUGGGCGCAAGCCUGAUGCAGCGACGCCGCGUGGGGGAUGACGGCCUUCGGGUUGUAAACUCCUUUCGCUAGGGACGAAGCGUUUUGUGACGGUACCUGGAGAAGAAGCACCGGCUAACUACGUG
rnacentral:rRNA from 1 species